CGUACUGCCAAAUGGACGCUGCUCAGCUGGAUGGCAUCUACUCAUUAGUUUCUAGCUUGCAGUUUGACUGACACGAUUUUGGUUUGGUUUAGAGAGAAUUAGAAUUUACUAUCAAGAGGGAAAACCUUUGAAGGUGAUUCUAGCGUAUUUGGCUGCGAAUCACGUUGUUCAGAGCAUGAGCUGGCUGAAGAGAAAGACUAUAGCUCUUGGUCUUCGAAGAAGAAACGGUAGCUGGGAUCUGAUAGUACUGCCUGACAUCUUGCAAGCAAUGCAGAUAGAAAUUGAGCGGUGUGGGAGAGGUGCUGGUUAUCGGUCUCUCUGGAAGAGAUUAAAGGAUCGUCAUGGGCUAGCAGUACGACGGUUGGUAAACUUAUUAGUUGUAUGAUUAGUUACACUAAAGUUUGCAUUUGUAUCUCAUUGAGCUGAAUAAAUUGCACCUCGACAUUUCAGUCAUUGAAUAUUAGGAAUAAGCGGGGAUGUAGGAAUACAAUUGUUGAUUGCAGAUUGUGUAAACAGGGAUACGGUAAUGACAUUACUAUCAAUUAUGGAUCCGGAAGGAGCAAAAUCUAGGAAAGGUCGACGACUGAAGCCCAGAGUUUAU